CGUGGUAUUGAAGUUUAAAUAUUAAAUUUUUUAUUUUAUUUUUAUUGACAUUUUGUUCAAACUAUACAAAUUUCAAAUUUUUUUUUUGCCUGAUACAUGACGGUGGGAGGGAAGAUUGACUUCAUAAAAUGUUUGCACCAUCUUUUAAUAAACUAAAAUGACGCCCUUGCUUAUUACCGAACGUAUUUAAAUUUUUGGCUCUCUGUAAUACU